rnacentral:rRNA from 1 species
GACAGAGGCCCCAAGCGUUAGGCGGAAUCACUGGGCUUAAAGCGUGUGUAGGCGGAUCGUUAAGUGCCUUGUGAAAUCCCACGGCUCAACCGUGGAACUGCUUGGCAUACUGGCGGUCUUGAGCAACCUAGGGGCGAGCGGAACAAGUGGUGGAGCGGUGAAAUGCGUAGAUAUCAUUUGGAACGCCAAUGGUGAAAACAGCUCGCUGGGGGUUUGCUGACGCUGAGACACGAAAGCCAGGGGAGCAAACGGG